rnacentral:rRNA from 1 species
AUACGGAGGGGGCUAGCGUUGUUCGGAAUUACUGGGCGUAAAGCGCGCGUAGGCGGAUCGUUAAGUCAGGGGUGAAAGCCCGGAGCUCAACUCCGGAACUGCCCUUGAUACUGGCGAUAUCGAGUCCGGGAGAGGUGAGCGGAAUUCCUAGUGUAGAGGUGAAAUUCGUAGAUAUUAGGAGGAACACCAGUGGCGAAGGCGGCUCACUGGCCCGGUACUGACGCUGAGGUGCGAAAGCGUGGGGAGCAAACAGGAUUAGAAACCCCAGUAGUCC